AUACGUAGGUGGCGAGCGUUAUCCGGAAUUAUUGGGCGUAAAGGGUGCGUAGGCGGCUUAAUAAGUUUGUGGUGAAAUCGUGGGGCUCAACUCCAUCAAGCCACAAAAACUGUAAAGCUAGAGGACAGUAGAGGCAAGUGGAAUUCCAUGUGUAGCGGUAAAAUGCGUAGAUAUAUGGAGGAACACCAGUGGCGAAGGCGGCUUGCUGGACUGUAACUGACGCUGAGGCACGAAAGCGUGGGGAGCAAAUAGGAUUAGAUACCCUAGUAGUCCACGCCGUAAACGAUGAAUACUAAGUGUUGGAGAAAUUCAGUGCUGCAGUUAACGCAAUAAGUAUUCCGCCUGGGGAGUACGCACGCAAGUGUGAA
rnacentral:rRNA from 1 species